rnacentral:rRNA from 1 species
GCCUAGCCCUAAACCUUGGUAAUAUAUCACACACCCUACCCGCCUGGGAACUACGAGCACCAGCUUAAAACCCAAAGGACUUGGCGGUGCUUUAGACCCCCCUAGAGGAGCCUGUUCUAGAACCGAUAACCCCCGUUCAACCUCACCCUUCCUUGUUUAUCCCGCCUAUAUACCGCCGUCGUCAGCUUACCCUGUGAAGGCCUAAAAGUAAGCACAACUGGCACAACCCAAAACGUCAGGUCGAGGUGUAGCGCAUGGAGGGGGAAGAAAUGGGCUACAUUCCCUAUAUUAGGGAACACGAACGGCGCACUGAAACACGCGCCUGAAGGAGGAUUUAGUAGUAAGCGGAAAAUAGUGUGUUCCGCUGAAAUCGGCCCUGAAGCGCGC